UCCACGGGUCAGGAAGUUCCGUUUUUUUCGGCGGGUCCAGUUUUUCGGAAUAAUAAGAGCAAGAUUUGCGGAUCGCCGCGCGGGACCGCGGGUGUGUGUUUGUGAUGGUGGGAGGGGGUCGCCGUGCAGUGCGAGUAGCAUAACUUGCAGGCGCGCACUGGUGAAACUUCAAGCCUUUUUACUGUCCUGAGAACGCGCAGUGCGGGGUGGCGAGAUGAUUCUGGGCCUCAAUUUUGGGUGGCUGGUGUGAGUGCUGGGAAAAGAAAACAACCCAAACCCGCAGGAGGGAGGGGGUGGCGCCACCGUCAGUUUUUGCCCCAAGAAGUGACAUAACCAAAACCAAAACCAUUCCGGAGGGGUAGAGUGUGGAGUGGCGCUGGAAGAAGUGGUUCCGGCGAGAAGGUAGUUUAUGCCGUAGAAGCUCACGCGGAAGGUCGUCGGCGCGGGACGUGACCUCUCCAAUUUCGGCGGAUUGUGUGAGUUCGACUGGAAAGCCGAGCAAGCAGAGGAGUCGAAAAUUUUCUUCCGAGGAAAAGCUUGGGAUGAGGGAAGGAAGCUGGAGCAAAAAGUGUGCGAAAGUUCAAGCCUGAUGGGAAUAGAUAAGAAGGAAGGAAGGCAAGUUCAUAAAUGUGAAAGAGGUCGUCGUAAUCCGAUACACUUUUGGCAAAUGUAGAGAUUUCUGAUUUCGGAACUUGCCAAGCUUAGCUCCACGUCGCGCAUAGUUGUCAAAGUGUGAUAAAAGACGUGAAGUUCACCAAGGGAGGAAGCCAAAGUGCGAAAUCGUGAAGAGAGAAAGCAAAAAAAAUAUUGGAAAGUUCCACCCAAGUGUUGCUAAUUUGGGAUUUGUGAUUGUUCUUGGGAGGAGUUUUCACACUUUCUAGAAAGAAGAAAAGUUUCAAAAUACCGAAGAGAAAACGAAAAAAAAAAAAAACGAGGAGAUUGAUGAGGGUGUGUUUUAGUCGGAAGAGUGCUUGUGCUUUCCCCCUGGGGGAACUCGGUGUUGGCACAAGGAAUCAACAUCAACGCGCAACGUGCUUGGCAAGCGAGAAAACGUGAAGUUCUUCGGGUGGAAACGUCUAGCAGAGAGAGCAGUUCGAGGAACAUCGAGAACAGUAGCAGCAGAACGAUCCUGGGAAAUGAGCGGAUUUGCCUGAGCUGCUUUUGCACCCACCACAAUCCCCCCCCUACCCUCCCCCGAGGGGGGUGUGCCGACGCCGGUCCGCGCGAAUCCAGCAAAAGAACAAAAACCGGACGCCAGUUGCCAGUUGAGGCGGAAAAAAGGGCAUCCUCGGUGCGGCAGGAACCUACCCCAAAAAUAACCACGCCAUUAGGUCGAACAGGAUUUCGACCCACCUCAUCAACCCCUUGUCCCUUCUCCCAGACAGACGGAAAUGAAAAUUAAACCAGUGAACAGGAUGUUUUCGGCGGUUGAUACAACGGAACUUGACGUCCGAAGGGUUUGGCCAGAGGCCCUGGGAAGGGUUUGAGUGAAAAGUUGGGCUUUGCAGCAGCAGUGAUCGGGGGGACCGGUUGCCGUUGGACAAUUCAUCCUCGGGGAGGUCGCUUGAAGGAGUCUUCCCUGCGCUAGGCGGGGUCCCUCCCCGGCUCGAAAAUGCUAAUCAAGGCGAACAUUUGGGUGUACGUGUUUCAACUUGUGGUGAUGAAAGUAACCUACGCCGUGUACGGCCUCGACAGCGUCCACAUCCGCGUGCCGCAGGCCGUGGCGCUGGGCAGCUCGGCGGUGCUGAUCUGCGAGUGCGACCUGCCCGACGAGGACCUGUACUCGGUCAAGUGGUACAAGGGCAAGCACGAGUUCUUCCGCUACACCUCGAAGGAGAUCCCGUCGAUCAAGAUCUUCCCGAAGGCGGGCAUCAACGUCAAUGUCGAUCACUCCAACGCAAGCCACGUGAUCCUGGGCAACGUGGAACCGCACACCAGCGGGAAGUACAGCUGCGAGGUGACCGAGGCGGCACCCUCCUUCCACACUAAGAUAGUAACUAGAGAUUUAAAUGUAGUAGAUUUACCCAAAAGCGAUCCGGUGAUAGUGGACAUGAAGCCGUACUACGGCGCGGACGAGUUUCUCGAGGUCGAAUGCAUAUCAAACGAAUCACUGCCCGCGGCCCGGCUCGAAUGGCUCAUCAACGAUCAGCCGCUGGGCGUGAUACAGCCCCCGUCCAGGUUGGAGUUUCUGACCUUGCCAGCGGCCAAUGCAACCUCCGGAAGCGGUAGCAGUAGCAACAGCAGCAACGGCACCGACGGCAGUACGUCCACAGUCGCCGCCACUAGCAGUAAGAAAUCCACCAAGUCUUCCCUGCGCCACAAGUCGGACGAGGAGUCCAGCGAUUUGACAAACUCGCUUGAAGGUGGUGGCGGCGAGUUGGCGGUUCCGCUGGCCAUGAUCGCUUCGGCGGCGGCCCUCUCGCUGACGACGAGCUCGACCUCAACGGGGUCGGUGCUGCCCUCGCCGGCGGCCAUCCACGCUGGGAGUUCCAGUGGGAAGUCCGGCGGUGGCAAGAAGACCCUGGUGAACAGCCGGUACGAACGGUCCGUGGCGCGGCUCAAGUUGCUGCUCGGGCAUGAGCACUUUGAGGAGGGGAAGAUCAAGGUGAAGUGCAUCGCCCGGAUAUUCGACGUGUACGAGCGGACGGCCGUGCAGGUCGCCGACGAGAACUACCCCCAGGUGCGGGUACUGUCCAAGAGCGACAACGGCGUCCACUACUCCUUCAUGAGCGACAAGGACGAAGCGUCCUCCAAGGCAUCUUCCUCGUCCAGUUCGCAGCUGUCCCGGCCGCACCACCGGUGGUCAUCGAUGGUGCUGCGACCUGUGCUGAGCUGGCUUGCUGGCAACACUGCCACCACCACCGAAAUCACCGGUCAAAGUCAACUGCAAGAUACGGGCCAAAGUUGGACGUCCCAACUGUUGGGUGGGACAACGCUUGCGGCGUUUCUUCUCAGUUGGAAUGCUGGAGCUUCCGAGCUGCUGAUAGCACUGCCGAUGGCGACGAUGUUGCUGCUUUUCUAACCCGGUCGAGAAUAACAACAACAGAUUCCGAGAUUGGCCCCGACAGAUAGGGCAGUUGAUGGUCGUAAGGAACGGAAGAGUGCUGACACGUUCUCUGCUUCCAAUACCCCCAAAUACUGCCUGCCUUGGUCGAGUAAUUUGAUAAGGCACACCAAAGAAGCAAAAGACGCAAAAAAAAUCAACUUCGGAAUGGAAAAAUAACGAGCACCGCUCGUGUUACCAAUACAAGUCGAAGUACUCCCCCUCCCCCAGCGGGACGACACACAUUUGCUGUGCGGUUUGUUGUCAUUUGAAUCGACGAGUGAAACAGUAGAGUUUUGUAUUAUAAUGUGAAUGUAAAGUGUGUAGACAGAAAAAAAAGAAAAAAAAAGCGAGACGUCGAAUCAAGCGUCAAACGAAAGAGGAGCUAUUUUUUGUAAUGGUGGAGCAAAUGUGACAGAGUCUAACGAGAGCGAGAGAGAAAGAAAAAGCGAGCGAGAGAGAGAAGGUAGAUAUUUAAAUUUUAAUAUGAGAUAAGAGAUAACACUAGCUGAUAGCGGAUAAAACUAGAACAAUACCAUUAGGAUAACGAAGAGAAGCUGCGCUGCAUUGCAAACCCUAGAAAAGCGAAAGAAAACAAUUCGAACUGAACACGACGGUUGUACAGGAUAACAGUUAUGCUAAGCUAUGAUGUAAAGUGACACUAAGUAUUAUGACAUAUUGAAGAAGAAAAAAAAAACAACAUAAACUGCAAAUAAAAAGACAAGCAAACUCUUGCAAAUUUA